rnacentral:rRNA from 1 species
GGUCAAGUUAUUAAGGGUGCAGGGCGGAUGCCUUGGCACUAGGAGCCGAUGAAGGACGUGAUAAGCUGCGAUAAGCUUCGGGGAGUUGCACGUAAACUUUGAUCCGAAGAUUUCCGAAUGAGGAAACUCACUUAGAGUAAUGUCUAAGUAUCAUUAAGUGAAUACAUAGCUUAAUGAGGGGAACUCAGGGAACUGAAACAUCUAAGUACCUGAAGGAAGAGAAAGAAAUUCGAUUCCGUAAGUAGCGGCGAGCGAACGCGGAUUAGCCCAAACCAAUAAAGUUUUCUUUAUUGGGGUUGCGGACAUAUCAUAACGAAGAGGUAUCGUAAUUGAAGAGGUUUGGAAAGACCCACCACAGAAGGUAAUAGUCCUGUAUGUUAAACGAGAAGACUUCAGAUAUGAUCCAGAGUACCACGGGACACGUGAAACCCUGUGGGAAGCAGGAGGGACCACCCUCCAAGGCUAAAUACUACCUAGUGACCGAUAGCGUAUAGUACCGUGAGGGAAAGGUGAAAAGAACCCCGGGAGGGGAGUGAAAUAGAACCUGAAACCCUGCACUUACAAGCUGUGGAAGCACAUUUCUUGUGUGACCGCGUACUUUUUGUAGAACGGGCCAACGAGUUACGUUAAGUAGCAAG